GACGAACGCUGGCGGCGUGCUUAACACAUGCAAGUCGAACGGAAAGGCCCUGCUUUUGUGGGGUGCUCGAGUGGCGAACGGGUGAGUAACACGUGAGUAACCUGCCCUUGACUUUGGGAUAACUUCAGGAAACUGGGGCUAAUACCGGAUAGGAGCUCCUGCUGCAUGGUGGGGGUUGGAAAGUUUCGGCGGUUGGGGAUGGACUCGCGGCUUAUCAGCUUGUUGGUGGGGUAGUGGCUUACCAAGGCUUUGACGGGUAGCCGGCCUGAGAGGGUGACCGGCCACAUUGGGACUGAGAUACGGCCCAGACUCCUACGGGAGGCAGCAGUGGGGAAUAUUGCACAAUGGGCGGAAGCCUGAUGCAGCAACGCCGCGUGCGGGAUGACGGCCUUCGGGUUGUAACCCGCUUUCGCCUGUGACGAAGCGCGAGUGACGGUAAUGGGUAAAGAAGCACCGGCUAACUACGUG
rnacentral:rRNA from 1 species